rnacentral:rRNA from 1 species
GACGAACGCUGGCGGCGUGCUUAAUACAUGCAAGUCGAGCGAGGUUACUGUUUUGGAUCCCUUCGGGGUGAAGAAGCUUUAACCUAGCGGCGGACGGGUGAGUAACGCGUGGGUAACCUACCCCAAAGUCCGGGAUAACAGCGGGAAACCGCUGCUAAUACCGGAUGCCUUUACCUUGGGGCAUCUUGAGGUAAAGAAAGGCAACGCUUUGGGAUGGGCCCGCGUCCCAUUAGCUAGUUGGUGAGGUAACGGCUCACCAAGGCGACGAUGGGUAGCCGGCCUGAGAGGGUGGACGGCCACACUGGGACUGAGACACGGCCCAGACUCCUACGGGAGGCAGCAGUAGGGAAUAUUGCGCAAUGGACGGAAGUCUGACGCAGCGACGCCGCGUGAGCGAUGAAGGUCUUCGGAUCGUAAAGCUCUGUCCUUGGGGAAGAAGGCGAAAGCUUGACGGUACCCAAGAAGAAAGCCCCGGCUAACUACGUGCCAGCAGCCGCGGUAAUACGUAGGGGGCGAGCGUGUCCGGAAUUACUGGGCGUAAAGGGUGCGUAGGCGGCC